CCUACGGGUGGCAGCAGUAGGGAAUAUUGCUCAAUGGGGGAAACCCUGAAGCAGCAACGCCGCGUGGAGGAUGAAGGUUUUCGGAUUGUAAACUCCUUUUGUUGGAGAAGAUAAUGACGGUAUCUAACGAAUAAGCACCGGCUAACUCCGUGCCAGCAGCCGCGGUAAUACGGAGGGUGCAAGCGUUACUCGGAAUCACUGGGCGUAAAGAGCGCGUAGGCGGGAUAACAAGUCAGAUGUGAAAUCCUAUGGCUUAACCAUAGAACUGCAUUUGAAACUGUUAUUCUAGAGUAUGGGAGAGGUAGGUGGAAUUCUUGGUGUAGCGGUAAAAUGCGUAGAGAUCAAGAGGAAUACUGAUUGCGAAGGCGACCUGCUAGAACAUAACUGACGCUGAUGCGCGAAAGCGUGGGGAGCAAACAGGAUUAGAUACCCCUGUAGUC
rnacentral:rRNA from 1 species